rnacentral:tRNA from 1 species
UAAGUAAAUAGCUUAUUGUUAAAGCAUGGCUUUGAAGGGGCCAAGUAAGAAAUAUUCUUUUGCUUAU